AGCUCCAAUAGCGUAUAUUAAUGUUGUUGCGGUUAAAAAGCUCGUAGUUGGAUCUCGGCGAGCAGGGGGCGGUUCGUUAUUCGACGCUACUGCCCCAUUUGCUCGUGUUUUUGGCGGAGGUCUCGGGGUGCUCUUAAUCGAGUGUCUCGGGGCGCCGUCAGGUUUACUUUGAAAAAAUUAGAGUGCUCAAAGCAGGCUUCGACCGCCUGAAUAUUCGUGCAUGGAAUAAUAGAAUAGGACGUCGUUUCUAUUUUGUUGGUUUUCGGAAAUCGACGUAAUGAUUAACAGGGACAGUCGGGGGCAUUAGUAUUCAGACGACAGAGGUGAAAUUCUUGGACCGUCUGAAGACUAACUACUGCGAAAGCAUUUGCCAAGAAUGUUUUCAUUAAUCAAGAACGAA
rnacentral:rRNA from 1 species